CCCUUAGAUGUUCUGGGCCGCACGCGCGCUACACUGAUGCAUUCAACGAGUCUAAAACCUGCUCUGAUAGGGGUGGGUAAUCUUUUGAAUGUGCAUCGUGAUUGGGAUAGAUGAUUGCAAUUUUUCAUCUUCAACGAGGAAUGCCUAGUAAACGCAAGUCAUCAGCUUGCAUUGAUUACGUCCCUGCCCUUUGUACACACCGCCCGUCGCUCCUACCGAUUGAAUGAUCCGAUGAAUAUCAUGGAUUGAGGAUUAUAGCAGGUUCGCCUGUCUUGAUCUUCGAGAAGUGAAGUAAAUCUUAUCAUUUAGAGGAAGGAGAAGUCAUAACA
rnacentral:rRNA from 1 species